rnacentral:rRNA from 1 species
UACGUAGGGUGCGAGCGUUAAUCGGAAUUACUGGGCGUAAAGCGUGCGCAGGCGGUUUUGUAAGCCAGGUGUGAAAUCCCCGGGCUCAACCUGGGAAUGGCAUUUGGGACUGCAAGGCUGGAGUGCGGCAGAGGAGACUGGAAUUCCUGGUGUAGCAGUGAAAUGCGUAGAUAUCAAGAGGAACACCUGAGGUGAAGACGGGUUGCUGGGCCGACACUGACGCUGAGUGCGCGAAAGCCAGGGGAGCAAACGGG